ensembl:rRNA 5S_rRNA 5S ribosomal RNA
GUCUUUGGCUAUGCUACCCUAAACAAGCCGGAUCCCAUUCUGAUCUUGAAAGCUAAGCAGGAUCGGGCCUGGUUAAUACUUGGAUGGGAGACCACCAAGGAAGAGCAGGUGCUGUAGACA